AUACGGAGGAUACGAGCGUUAUCCGGAUUUAUUGGGUUUAAAGGGAGCGUAGGCGGGAGCUUAAGUCAGCGGUUAAAUGGUGCGGCUCAACCGUGCCCUGCCGUUGAAACUGGGUUUCUUGAGAGUGCAAGAGGCGGAUGGAAUUCAUGGUGUAGCGGUGAAAUGCUUAGAUAUCAUGAAGAACUCCGAUUGCGAAGGCAGUCCGCUGGGGCACGUCUGACGCUGAUGCUCGAAGGUGCGGGAAUCAAACAGGAUUAGAUACCCUGGUAGUCCGCACGGUCAACUAUGUACACUGGGUGUCCGUGCAUGAGCAUGGGUGCCGAAGCAAACGCGAUAAGUGUACCGCCUGGGGAGUAUGCCCGCAAGGGUGAAACUCAAAUGAAUUGGCGGGG
rnacentral:rRNA from 1 species